rnacentral:ncRNA from 1 species
ACGCUAGGGGCGCUUUUGCUGAGAGAUGAAUUUCCAUCGACCCUUAUUACUUGAACCGGAUAAUACCGGCGUAAGGAAGCUUUUU